AUAUCAAUAAGCGGAGGAAAAGAAACCAACAGGGAUUGCCCUAGUAACGGCGAGUGAAGCGGCAACAGCUCAAAUUUGAAAUCUGGCCCUCGGGUCCGAGUUGUAAUUUGUAGAGGAUGCUUUUGGUGAGGUGCCUUCCGAGUUCCCUGGAACGGGACGCCAUAGAGGGUGAGAGCCCCGUCUGGUUGGAUACCGAGCCUCUGUAAAGCUCCUUCGACGAGUCGAGUAGUUUGGGAAUGCUGCUCUAAAUGGGAGGUAUAUGUCUUCUAAAGCUAAAUAUUGGCCAGAGACCGAUAGCGCACAAGUAGAGUGAUCGAAAGAUGAAAAGCACUUUGAAAAGAGAGUUAAAAAGUACGUGAAAUUGUUGAAAGGGAAGCGCUUAUGACCAGACUUGGGCUUGGUUGAUCAUCCUGGGUUCUCCCUGGUGCACUCUUCCAGUUCAGGCCAGCAUCAGUUCGCUGCGGGGGAUAAAAGCUUUGGGAAUGUGGCUCCCUCGGGAGUGUUAUAGCCCAUUGCAUAAUACCCUGCUCCGGACUGAGGUUCGCGCAUCUGCAAGGAUGCUGGCGUAAUGGUCAUCAGCGA
rnacentral:rRNA from 1 species